GAGGAAUAUUGGUCAAUGGACGAGAGUCUGAACCAGCCAAAUCGCGUGAAGGAAGACUGCCCUACGGGUUGUAAACUUCUUUUGUACAGGAAUAAAAGACAUUACGUGUCAUGUAUUGCAUGUACUGUACGAAUACGCAUCGGCUAACUCCGUGCCAGCAGCCGCGGUAAUACGGAGGAUGCGAGCGUUAUCCGGAUUUAUUGGGUUUAAUGGGUGCGCAGGCGGGAUUUUAAGUCAGCGGUGAAAUUUUCAGGCUCAACCUGAACACUGCCGUUGAAACUGGGAUUCUGGAGUAUGAAUGAAGUAGGCGGAAUUCGUUGUGUAGCGGUGACAUGCUUAGAUAUAACGAGGAACUCCGACUGCGUAGGCAGCUUACUAAGCCAUAACUGACGCUCAAGCACGAAAGCGUGGG
rnacentral:rRNA from 1 species